GAUGAACGCUAGCGGCAGGCCUAAUACAUGCAAGUCGAACGAAGCAGCAAUGCUUAGUGGCGCACGGGUGCGUAACGCGUAUGCAAUCUGCCCUUCACUGGGGGAUAACCUUCCGAAAGGAAGGCUAAUACCGCAUAAGACUACGGUACGGCAUCGUAUAGUGGUAAAACUCCGGUGGUGAAGGAUGAGCAUGCGUCCAAUUAGUUAGUUGGUAGGGUAACGGCCUACCAAGACGAUGAUUGGUAGGGGGUCUGAGAGGAUGAUCCCCCACACUGGUACUGAGAUACGGACCAGACUCCUACGGGAGGCAGCAGUAGGGAAUAUUGGUCAAUGGAGGCAACUCUGAACCAGCCAUGCCGCGUGCAGGAAGAAGGCCCCUCUGGGUUGUAAACUGCUUUUGGACAGGAACAAAUGACUCUUGCGAGAGUAGCUGAGUGUACUGUCAGAAUAAGCCACGGCUAACUACGUGCCAGCAGCCGCGGUAA
rnacentral:rRNA from 1 species